rnacentral:rRNA from 1 species
UACGUAGGGUGCGAGCGUUGUCCGGAAUUAUUGGGCGUAAAGGGCUCGUAGGCGGUUUGUCGCGUCGGGAGUGAAAACUCGGAGCUUAACUCCGAGCCUGCUUCCGAUACGGGCAGACUAGAGGUAUGCAGGGGAGAACGGAAUUCCUGGUGUAGCGGUGAAAUGCGCAGAUAUCAGGAGGAACACCGGUGGCGAAGGCGGGAUCCUGGGCCAGUACUGACGCUGAGGAGCGAAAGCGUGGGGAGCAAACAGG